AGCAGAGUUUCAGGAAGCACAGAAUAACUCUCAGCAUGUUCAGGAAUCCAAGGAGGAUGUUUAAUACACGGCCUUAUUUUCACGGCGGUGAAACGUCGAGGAGCUCUGACAGGCGUUCUCUUCACCUUGAAAUCUGCUCCACCAGUCUGACUGGUGCUUCAUCGUGCCAGCAACUCCAGUUUGCUUUUAGAGGGAAUUAACUCUGAUAUACAGCUCUCUGACUUCACCUUUUGUUUUACUUUACUCGGCUAAAAACAUCAAAUGUGGCAAAAAUCUGAAGUUUUAAGGAAGUGAAGAAGAGCUGUGUUUGUUUUUGGCUUAAUGACAGCAUAUUAGUGACACUGUGGGGAUUUCCACACAACAACGGUGACACGAGACCUGCUGACAGACAGUAAGCUCAACGUUUCUCAGUGAAAUCGGAGCGUUUGUGAACGCGGAUUCAAACAGGACUUCAUUUAUUCGCUGCACUCCUUCCUGCUUUAGCUCUUCCUGAAACACGCCUCCAAAGACUGUCUUUCAUCUUCAUAUCUGUCAAACACCGGGAAGCUCGUCGGAGGAAUGCAAACGCCCCACAGCAGACUCGGUUCAGUCACGUGACCUCCCUCAGGAGCCGUUUCAGAUGCUGUCGACAGAGCAGUGGGCGGGACCGAGCUGCAGGUCAACAUUAAACCGAUCGGCCCAGAGGCAGAGCUGCAGCUCCGGCUCAGAAACAAGGCGACACGUUUGUCAGCGAUCGGCUCACGCUUCAUCGUCGUCGUCGUCACGUGGAGGACGGGGCGCUGUUUAUCAGUCACGUGACUCCCCGCCGGGCCGGACCCACGCCAGCUUUCUAUACCGCCCAUCCUGCUCCAGACACGAGUGAAGUCUGGUUUAUUUUCAUGUUACAUUAAUAUUAAUUACUUACAGGGCUCACAGCUGACAAGCUCGCCGUCUUUUCUCAUCUGGAAAAAUAAGUCAUUUGCAUUUCUCCUUCUUCUUUGGUUCUGUCACGUCUCUGCGGUCUGAUUUUCUCCCUGCAUACAUUAUUAUAUUUUUGGGCGAGCGUCAUUAGCAUGUACAGUAGACCUCAGAAGAACGAGCCCACUCUGCUUUCUUGGUUUGACCCAUUCCAGUUUUUCCAUCGCUGAUAUUUUUGGAGCGAAUCUGCUUUUUUGUGCCAGUUUUCAAUAUCUGAGAAUUUGGCCUCGUCCUGCCAAAAACUUCAAACAAUUACAAGUAUUCAGUGUUUCCCCCAGUUAUUCUUGGCAGUGUGGAAAAGCCUGUGAAGCUGCGUGCAGACCGCAGGAAGCUGCGCUGCUAUUAAUACUCUGUUCGUAUACCCACUUCUCAGCACUAAAGACACAUCAGUGUUUUUAUAUUGAUUAGUAAUCAGACGAGGAAGAGCCUGAGAACAGCCAGUCAGUCACUGCGCUGCCAAUGAAGAUGCAGGUUGGUGCUAGCACACGUUUCUCCAGGACUUCUUUACCCUCGACCGUCAGACCGGGCUCACUUUUUACUGUUUCUGGGUUUUCUCUGACUUUUAAACACGUCUGUUUUUCAUGUUUAAAAAACCAAAAACAAACUACUAAAUGAGCCACCGGGAGCAUCGCAGCAGACGCUGGUAAAAACAAGAGGAAAUUUCUAUUUUUCGGUGCAUAAAUGCUUCAGUCUUUACAGAUAAACGACUGUUCAGUAUUCAAAAAUAUGAUCGUCUCCGGUAACUGCUCAUUAGAGAUGCACAAAUCGUGACAUUCUACAACAGAACAGAUGUUUAAAAUAAAAAUUUGGUUGACGCUG
ensembl:lncRNA